rnacentral:rRNA from 1 species
ACGGGUGAGUAAUACUUAGGAAUCUGCCUAUUAAUGGGGGACAACAUCUCGAAAGGGAUGCUAAUACCGCAUACGCCCUACGGGGGAAAGCAGGGGAUCACUUGUGACCUUGCGUUAAUAGAUGAGCCUAAGUCGGAUUAGCUAGUUGGUGGGGUAAAGGCCUACCAAGGCGACGAUCUGUAGCGGGUCUGAGAGGAUGAUCCGCCACACUGGGACUGAGACACGGCCCAGACUCCUACGGGAGGCAGCAGUGGGGAAUAUUGGACAAUGGGGGGAACCCUGACCCAGCCAUGCCGCGUGUGUGAAGAAGGCCUUAUGGUUGUAAAGCACUUUAAGCGAGGAGGAGGCUCUCUUGGUUAAUACCCAAGAAGAGUGGACGUUACUCGCAGAAUAAGCACCGGCUAACUCUGUGCCAGCAGCCGCGGUAAUACAGAGGGUGCGAGCGUUAAUCGGAUUUACUGGGCGUAAAGCGUGCGUAGGCGGCUUUUUAAGUCGGAUGUGAAAUCCCCGAGCUUAACUUGGGAAUUGCAUUCGAUACUGGGAAGCUAGAGUAUGGGAGAGGAUGGUAGAAUUCCAGGUGUAGCG